CUUUAGCCCUGAUCGAAGCGGCAUCCUUUGCUUUUUUCUUUAAAAAAGCAAAGAUACAGCGAAGAGCAGGAACCAUG
rnacentral:sRNA from 1 species